rnacentral:rRNA from 1 species
UACGUAGGUGACAAGCGUUGUCCGGAUUUACUGGGCGUAAAGAGCGCGCAGGCGGUCGUUCAAGUCGAGUGUGAAAGCCCCCGGCUCAACUGGGGAGGGUCAUUCGAUACUGAUCGACUCGAAGGCAGGAGAGGGUAGUGGAAUUCCCGGUGUAGUGGUGAAAUGCGUAGAUAUCGGGAGAAACACCAGUGGCGAAGGCGACUACCUGGCCUGUUCUUGACGCUGAGGUGCGAAAGCGUGGGGAGCAAACAGG